CAUAUCCUACAGAAAUAUAGAACAGUGAACUGUGAGGAUUUUUCUCUAUGCAUGUUCAGUGCCACGAUUAAAAAAAGCGGGCUAGAGACAUGAUCUUUUGUUCUGUUUACUGAACCCCCUUAACAACAACAAAAAAAGAUGUGACAGAAUUAUUGCAAUAAAAGAAAAAGGAAGACAUUCAGCUACGGACAUUAGCAUUGGGGUCCUAGUUACUUAGGUGUGUUUGGAGUUUGCACUCCCUAGUCAGAUCUGCUACAGUCUGUAGAGUGUGUAUGUGUGUGUUGCUGUUUAGCUACAUUGUCCCAGACUAUGUUGUCCUCAUCUGCUUUGGGCUGUUUUUCUCCCUGUGAUUGAGUAGUUGUCCUGGUAGUUUUGUGCCUUCUAAAAGUAUUAUUUUCUCCUACUUAAUGAAACGGCAGAGCUAAUGCCAAUUUUCUUCAAAAAAAAAAAAAGAAACUCAAGAAUAUGGAAAUGACAGAUAAGCUGAAAGCUUGAAACACUACAGUCCAAUGCUUCAAGCAUUCAACUGUCCAACAGAACCACUGCACUUCAUCAUGCAAUCUGUACUAUGGAGUGGCAAUCAGGUAUAUUCACAAUAUUAAGGAAAAUACCAAAAACAUGAAUUUGAAAUAGUUUUAAAAUUUUGAAGUAACCAAGUAACGAUCAACGGAUCAGGACAAGCACACACUUUCUGGACCCCCCCCCCCCCACCCCAGCGAAGUUAUUGCUUCAGAGUAUCACAGCCAGCAUCCAUUUUGUCACUCACAAGAAGUAAACUUUAUUUCCUUGUAAUUCAUAAAGUUUGUUGCAGAUAGCAAAUUUCAUCAGCUAUUACCAAUUGUUUGAAGCAUCAGCAACAACAACACAGAUGCAAAUGUGCACACUGACACAAGUAGUUAAGGAAGAAGGAUGCACAGCCUCAUCUCGAGCUUGAAGAUGUAAACAGCCACCAUGGCUUAGAUAUGAAGACUCCUGGCGCUCCACAUCCCCUUCCUUGAAGUACCCAGUGAUCAUCGCAGUGCAUGCCACAACAUUCUUCUUCGGCAUCGCUUCAAACAAUUCCCUUGCCUCGACGAACAUGCCGUUCUCAACAUACCCACUAAUCAUCGCUGCCCAGGACACCAGGUUCCUCUCGGGCAUUGCGUCAAACACCUCCCGCGCCCACGCCACCUCCCCGCGGUGCGCGAGCCCGUCCACCAUGGCGGUAUACGACACCACGUUCCUCACGGGCAUUUCGCCGAACAGCCUCUCUGCGUCUUCCAUGCGGCCGAGCCGGACGAGGCCUGCGAGCAUGGCGUUCCACGUGGCCACGUUGCGCCGCGGGGCGCUCGCGAAGUAGGCGGAGGCAGCGCCCAGGUCCCUGUGGGCGAGGCAGCCGGCGACGACGGAGUUCCAGGAGACGACGUUGCGGGUCGGCAUGGCGUCCGAGGAGCCGCGUGGCGGGCAGGUCGCGCCCGCCCAGAGCGCGGUGAGGAGCGCGUUCCAGGAGACGACGUCGCGCUGGGGCAUGGCGUCGAACACCCGGCGCGCCGCGGCCAGGUCGCCCGCGCGGCCGAGGGCGCUGAUGCGUUGGUUGUCGCGGACGAGGCGGCGGGCGGCGAGGGUGGCAGGGCGACCGAGCGGGGGCAUCGUGACGGCAUGGGUGUCGCCACUCGCCAAGGCCACUACGAGGCUUCGAGCUUGGCGUAAGUUGCAGGGUAAGAAAAAGCUAACGGUUGUUAUC